UACGGAGGGAGCUAGCGUUGUUCGGAAUUACUGGGCGUAAAGCGCACGUAGGCGGCGAUUCAAGUCAGAGGUGAAAGCCCGGGGCUCAACCCCCGGAACUGCCUUUGAAACUAGAUUGCUAGAAUCCUGGAGAGGUGAGUGGAAUUCCGAGUGUAGAGGUGAAAUUCGUAGAUAUUCGGAAGAACACCAGUGGCGAAGGCGACUCACUGGACAGGUAUUGACGCUGAGGUGCGAAAGCGUGGGGAGCAAACAGG
rnacentral:rRNA from 1 species